rnacentral:rRNA from 1 species
CCUACGGGUGGCAGCAGUGGGGAAUAUUGCACAAUGGGGGAAACCCUGAUGCAGCGACGCCGCGUGAGCGAAGAAGUAUUUCGGUAUGUAAAGCUCUAUCAGCAGGGAAGAAAAUGACGUUACCUGAGUAAGAAGCUCCGGCUAAAUACGUGCCAGCAGCCGCGGUAAUACGUAUGGAGCAAGCGUUAUCCCGAUUUACUGGGCGGAAAGGGAGCGUAGGCGGGCUGCAAAGUCUGAUGUGAAAUACCGGGGCUCAACCUCCGGUCUGCAUUUGAAACUGGCAGGCUGGAGUGGCGGAGAGGCAGGCGGAAUUCGUAGUGUAGCGGUGAAAUGAGUAGAUAUUAGGAGGAACACCAGUGGCGAAGGCGGCCUGCUGGACGGUGACUGACGCUGAGGCUCGAAAGCGUGGGGAGCAAACAGGAUUAGAUACCCCUGUAGUC